rnacentral:rRNA from 1 species
GACGAACGCUGGCGGCGUGCUUAACACAUGCAAGUCGAGCGGUAAGGCCCUUUCGGGGGUACGACGAGCGGCGAACGGGUGAGUAACACGUGGGUGACCUGCCCUCAGCUCUGGGAUAAGCCUGGGAAACCGGGUCUAAUACUGGAUAUGACUCCAUGACGCAUGUUGUGGGGUGGAAAGCCUUGUGCGGCUGAGGAUGGGCCCGCGGCCUAUCAGCUUGUUGGUGGGGUGANGGCCUACCAAGGCGACGACGGGUAGCCGGCCUGAGAGGGCGACCGGCCACACUGGGACUGAGACACGGCCCAGACUCCUACGGGAGGCAGCAGUGGGGAAGUAUUGGACAAUGGGGGAAACCCGUGAUCCAGCGACGCCGCGUGUGUGAAGAAGGCCUGCGGGUUGUAAAG